AUGUCCUCCUCCACUGUAGCCAUCUCUUCUGGCCUCAACUACAACACAUCAGAACCCCUUACCCAGACGAACUAUGUUCUCUGGCGAGCCCAAGCACGAUCCCAGAUACUGGGCGCUGGAUUGUUCGGCUAUAUCGAUCAAACCAUCGAGGAGCCUCGCAAAACAAUCUCUAGCAAAGACAAAGAUGGCAAGGAGCAGGUAGUUCCCAAUCCUGCCUACAACCCCUGGUUAGUUCAAGAUCAGCAAAUCGUAGCAUAUCCUCUCUGCAAUCUUUCCAAGAAGGUGCUUGUU
rnacentral:rRNA from 1 species